AAGAAGAGAAAAAAAAUUAAUUAACUUCUGGCAAGAGCAUAUUUUUAAAGGAUUUUACAAUAAAUCUGAAAGUCUCUGCCUUCUGCAACGCCUGCACUCCAUUCCGUGCAUAUUUUUAUGACAUAUAUCUAAACAGUGAAGAUAGACAAAUCCCCAGUGUGUGCCCCAUAAAGUUAAUUCUAAACAGAUGAAGCUGUAAUUGGCUCCCACAUUAACCCAAAGGAGGAAGAUCAAGCGGGAUGGAACAAUGACAAUGUUGAUUUUUUACAAAAUGCUGACGAAUGGUGUUAUAGAUAGGUGUUCACUCAUUCUCAUCUGAAAGAAACCCUCGCUUAUUUUUCCUUGUUCUUACUGUGCUUAGUGCUAAGGCUCGGCAUCAUCAAAACAGCGGACAGGAUAAAUUAAAGAUGCAUUUUGCCGAACUGCACAGGGCAGGCUUUUUGCCUACUUUGUACAUUAAUCUACUGUUUCUCCUUUGUGAUGACCCUAACUGUUGUACCUGCCAGACAUUUUUGUUCUGGUAAGAUUUCUCAGGUAACAAUUCUGUUUUCUAAUACAACGUACCUGUGGCGACUUCGUUAAUAUUAACUGAAUUAUGAAUAAGUGGAAAAGACAGUUUUAUUGCUUGUGUAAAAUAUCGGUGAUGAAGGGGGACCUGGGUGACUUCAGCCCAGGGCAUGAGCUUGUGUUUGUGAGUUUGAGCCCUGUAUCAGUCUCCGUGCUGAUGGUGCAGAGCCUGCUUGGGAUUCUCUUUUCUGUCUCUGCCCCCUAAUCUCUCUCUCAAAAUAAAUUUAAGAACUUUAAAAUAUUGGUGAUGAAAAUUAGACUAUACAACUCUAAAACGUGUUUGUGGCUUCUAGUCUCCAGAAAUCUUUGUUAUCAUUUUCUACACCCAUUGAGCUAUCAAGAUUGCUUUCUAUAAUUUCCAAUUUUCAUAUCUUCAGAUGCCUGUAGUUUCAGAAGUAGACAGAGGAAAGUAUCCAAUGGAUUUCUUGCCUCACUGGCUUUUUCUGAGGUAGGAAACAUUUAUCUGUUUUGCAGAAAGUCUAUAUCAAACCUGGGCUCCGAAGCUAACUCCUCUUAAUAUGAUUUACAAAUACUGUAAACCCUCAGAAAUAUGUGAAGAUUUACCAAAAUGAAAGAAAGUUCUGGUCAAGUACUCUUUACAUCAAGUAUAUAAUCGACCAUAAACUCCCAAGAUUCCAGCUAGUGAUUCUUUCUUCUUUGAAACUAAAAAGGUAAGAUUGAAAUCUGGAUGAACAGGUACAGAAGUGGAAAAUGUCUUAAAAUGGCUUGACUGAGAAAAGAUCAAGGUCUACUAUAAUUAGAAACAGAAGUUUACUGAGGAUCCAUUCUAUCUUAGGUUUCUGAGAAAAUCGAAACAUGCUUUGGGAGCUAACUAACAGUCGAGAAGGAAUUCAUAGUAAGCAUACAUUUAACUCAACUUUAACUGUGAUGAGUACACAGAAGGAACCUUAUGGAGGAGGUGAGAUUUGAGUUGUGCCUUGCAGGCUUUCAGUAGGUAUGAAAAGCACCAUAGGUGUUUCUCGCAAAGGAGCAGUAGUCCUAAUGGUACUGAUAUGCAAACAUGCACAUUGGACUCAAGGGCCGAUGAAUGGUCCCAUGGAUUGGGUUGUAGCAGGGGUGUGAGGAACAACAUAUGAAGCUGGAAACAUCAUCCACAAUUGCAAAGCCGUAAGAUGCUGUGCUAAGAUAUUUUUAUUGUUUUUUAUAAAAGGGGGAGGUUUCCGAACAGAGGAGAGGCCUGACUUGACUUGUAUUUUAGAGUCAUAGAGCUGAAAGCAUUGUGAAGGUAGACCAGAAGGACAAGAGAUGGAAGACCAUCCCACCCAAAAUAAUUGAUGUGACCUGGCACUUGGGUAGUGGCAUUUGGAUUGGAGACAGAGUCCAUGAUUUCUUUUCCUGAGGUAGACUCACCAGAGUUUGGUCGCUAAGUAGAUACGAGCUGUGAGUGAAAGGGACACCUCAAAGGUGACGGCAAGCAAAGCAUGCGACCCCACUGGCUACUGACCCCACUGAAAUGGGGCUACAGUGAGUGAACAGGCAGUGCAGGUUUGGGGAGGACAAUAACCAGUUCAUUGACUAUCUCAAAGGGAGAAAGUUAUGAAACUAUGUCAAAACUGUGGAAGCAACUAUGGAAACAGUAAUCAAUUUUUAUAACUCAUUCUUAAUGUGUUUGGUAGCCUGGUGAGGAUGGUAAGCCACCGGCACACAUCCCCAGGGAAAAUCAAGUGACGAACCAUGACAGGCUGCCCUUCAGGCCCCAAGAAGUUUGUGCAGAUUCAGAACUGAGGCCUCAUAACUCUCCACCCUUGCACACAGCUCCAGGCCAGGUAUUACAUACAUCUCUCCUUCUCUUCUUUAAAGGCAGCUGUUUCACUGAUGUUUCCCAGCCUCUGUAUGUAAAAGAUUGAGCUUCAGGAAAAGCAGAAUACAGUGAAUGAGAUGGGAACAAGCCUGCCACAUCCGGGAGGCACAGACAGCCUCUGCUCAUUCCACAAAGUACCGGUGAUAUGGGAGUUAGAUCAGAGCCUUGACAGAUGAGAGCCUCUCCGCCUUGGAAAUGCAAUAUAAAACUAACCUGCGCGGCAGCCCCGCACACCGUUUGUCUGUCUAAAGGUCUAUGAAGAUGUACACAUUUGUCUGUGGAGCAGCAACUCAUGCUUUGGAAGCUGACUCAUUUCAAAAGGUAAGUGAUCUUCAAGAUUUGGGCAGGAAAACGUGCCAAGUAGAUUUUUUAAAUAGUUUUUAUUCACUUUGAUGACGCACUUCCUCCGUCCUCUCCUUUUUAACCAUUUCUAAUCCUAGGGAAAAGAGGGUAAGUUGCCCUCUGCUCAGAGACAUCUUUGAUCUAAGUGUCUAGGAAGAAAGAAAGAGGUAGGUGGACUUGAAAGUAAGUCAGCGAUAUUUAGUGGCAGGUCCUAACGUAGGCAAUUAACACACACCACACAUGCAUACACACGUUUAUAUGUAUAUCUUACUUAAUGUCACAAGUCUUCCAAGUCGGUAUAUUAUUCCCUUUUUAUAGAUCAGGAAACUAAAGCUCAGAAAUGUUAAACAGCUUGUCUGGAGAUACAGCUAUGUGAUGAUAUUUACUAAGAGAGAAUCCUUACUCCUUAUCCUUAUUCACGUCAGUUAGCCCUACACUCCGGGCUUCUCUCCACAACUUUACUUAUUCUCUCCCUGGUGAACUUGAAACAAGAAAUCAGAACAGCCUCCCCGCCUCUCCCCUCUCGUUCAGUUACAUCCAAGCUGCCUCUAGGAAGUACCCAUAUUCUGCCUGUCCAUAGUCUAGUUUUAACAAGAGGAGCUUCUUCUGAGCAUGACCUUGCAUUCCAGCUCUGUCUGUUGUCGAGUCUCCUUCCUUAUGGGGUGAUGAAUUAACAAGCCCACUUGGCAGCUGACCUAGAGCCCUAUCUUCCAAAUGGCUUUAUCCCUAAUGAGGCUGACAUGUUUAUGGCCUUUGGUCUGGUUCCUGUGUUUCCUUAAUUUUCUCAAAUAGCUCAGAUGGAGAAAAGAGGUGUAGAACAGAGGUGCCCCCUGAGACCCCAACAAUAAUCGCUCUGAUAUGUGAACCCUGGUUGGUCUGACUCUAAGGCCCUUGCACCUCUGAUUACACCACGUGUAAAACAUUUGAUCACGUAACACACCAUUAUCUUUGUGCGUUCGUGUGUGGCUGCAGAAUGGGGAUGUGUCUGAACAUGAUCCUGGACGCUGAGUUUUCCCUUAAGUUAAGUGCUCAGCUGGAAGAAUCCGAGGGAAAUUUGUUUUUGUUUUUGGCUUUUUGGGUUUUUUUUGGUUUUUGUUUUUGUUUUAUCCUGGGUGGGAAUUUUGUAAACACCCUUCUUGACUCAAAAAGUGUGUUGUAUGGUCUUCAUGAAAAACAGGAACAGAGGUAGCAUCAAAAUUACUGCAGGCAUGAAGUCUACUAUACCCCAUGGAAUUUCUCAAGGUUCUUUGAAUUGAAGAUUAACUAGAAGAAAUACCAGAGUUUGUUUUUCUCCCCUCUUUUGGACCAUAAAGUUGUAAUACUAAAGCAAUUGGGGUCGUUUUCAGGAUUUCUAGCUAGCAGUUCUUAAGAUAGGAUAAUCGAAUACCUAUCAACAGCAAAGCAUGUGGAUCAAGUUAAAUCUUAUUAUUUUGCUGUAUGGGUACACACCUCCUUAUGGAAAAGAAGGCAGAGCAUAGCAGAAGUGAGGGAAAGAGACCCAUAAAACCUCACUAGAAAUGGUUAAGAAUCUGAACCAGAUGUUCAUACAGAAGAGAAUAUUUUCGGUUACCUGCUGAUAUAUUGAACACUCUCCCAUUGGCCAUGAACACAUCCUACCCUACGGGUAAUUGCUUUAUAUUCUGACUUACAACCGAAGACAGCCUGAAGCAAUUGGGGAUGCUUAGCUUUGAAAGCUUCUUAAAAUCCUCCCUAGGGUUAAGAAAGUAGGGCAAGGUAAAAAAAAAAAAAAAAGAAAAAAAAAAGAAAGAAAAGAAAAGAAAGAAAGAAAAAGAAAAAAAGGAAAAAAAGAAGAACAACAUGGAUUUUUAUAACAGGAACUAAAUCUGAAGAAAGGCAGUUCAGAGGAUGGACACAGAGGUGAGGAGUGAUGGGGAAAUAACCAUUCGAUCUUUUUUGAUCGUUCGGCUCAUGCCUGAAUAACCGACGUGGGCGAACGUGAUUCUCUGCCACAGUGUUCCCUUUGACUUUUCACUCUAUUUCUUUAAAACUAGCUGUUGAGUAACAAGCUUCGCAGCAAACUGACUUGUGAUAGUUGAUACAUAGUCACAUGCAAUAUUUCUCAUUUAAUUUUAUUUCAGACCGUGAAGGCAAUCCACGUAGAGGAAGGGAAAGAUUUGUUAAAGCAAAUACCAGACAAUCUAGACAUUCUUGUCUAGGGUAGGUGAGGAAUAAAAGGAAGGAAGCAGGAUAUGAUGUUUCUAUAAACUGCAUUUUCUAUAGAUGCCUUUGUUUUCCAUUUCCUAGCAAGGCAUGGUCAAACUAUUUGGCAGUCUGAAUAAGAUCCCUGGAAAAUUGGAGUUCACUCGGUAUUAUCUGCAGAAUAAGAGGCCAGAAGACAGCUACCGUGCCCUACUGAGUCUGAAGGAUGGCCCUGGAAGGACACCUCUGGGGAGCUCGAUCUGGAUGCAUAGAAGCUUAGAAGAGCCCACAAAAUGCCAGACCUGCAAACAGUAAUCCUUAAAUGAAAUUCAUCAUUCAGCAGAAAAACAAGUUAAGGGCGGUAAUUCAAUGAUAGACGAAACAGGCCGGAACAGGUUCACAUGCUGCAUAUUUCACAACAGAGCUUAAUUAAAAUAGGACUAUGAGGCUGUUAAUUGCAUUAUAAUAGUUCAGCAUGAAAUUAGGUCUGAUGUGAAUGUCCUUAUAGUGGAUUUGUUUAUGUUAUUAUAAUUACACAGUGGUACAUAGAUUUACUGCAUAGAUACAUUUUAACAGGCUGGCUCUUGGGUGGAUUUCUUUUCUUUCCUUGCUGGAAUUUGCACCCUAUUUACAAGUGUGGAAAGUCGGCAAGAAGGAACCAGGGUCAGGAAAUUAGGUCAUACUGGAUGAUCCGCUUGGUCUCUUGUGUUCUAAAGCUUAGAACUCCAAAUAAGUUGCGUCUUGAUCACAGUGAUUUUAUUCACCAUUUCGUUGAGAGAGAAUAUGUCACUAAAAAACUAGGUCUCGUAAGAUAGGUGCUUUAUGUUGUCUUAGAAAGCAACACCUUUCUUUAGAAUCAAUGAGUUCAAAUGUAUGACUAAACGUGUCUGCAGUUCCACAAUAUCAUGUAUUCCAGUGUAAAUUUAAAAAAAAAAAGUCAACAUUUCAAAGAUUUGGGUCUAGCAAACAAUAGUAACUUUUGUUCACAGGAUGGAAAAGAUGUGGCAGGAAUUGGUUUGGUUUUCCAAAUAUAAAAAUGGAUUUACAUUUUUCCUUGAUUCAUCCAUAGUUCCCAAUUUCUGGACAGAGACAUACUUGGCUCACAUAAGAAUCUCACCUAUGACCUUGGCUUAAACACUAAAAGCUGAGAUAAUAUCAGAAGUUUUGGGAACAAAUACAGCACAGUUGAUAAUGUUUUCCAUUUUCAUCUAGAUAUUUUUAUUUCUGUGCAGACUAUAUAUCUCAGCAAUUUUGCACAUUUCUGAAUUUUGUGUGUUGCUUUGAAAUAAAAGGGUAAAAAAAUUAAUAGAAGAUUACCUACAAAUAAAUUAGGUAAGCAAGA